CUCAGAUGCGAAAGCGUGGGUAGCAAACAGGAUUAGAUACCCUGGUAGUCCACGCCGUAAACGCUGUCUACUUGGAGGUUGAGGUUUUAGACUUUGGCUUUCGGCGCUAACGCAUUAAGUAGACCGCCUGGGGAGUACGGCCGCAAGGUUAAAACUCAAAUGAAUUGACGGGGGCCCGCACAAGCGGUGGAGCAUGUGGUUUAAUUCGAUGCAACGCGAAGAACCUUACCUACUCUUGACAUCCAGCGAAGCCUUUAGAGAUAGAGGUGUGCCUUCGGGAGCGCUGAGACAGGUGCUGCAUGGCUGCCGUCAGCUCGUGUUGUGAAAUGUUGGGUUAAGUCCCGCAACGAGCGCAACCCUUAUCCUUGUUUGCCAGCACAUAAUGGUGGGAACUCCAGGGAGACUGCCGGUGAUAAACCGGAGGAAGGUGGGGACGACGUCAAGUCAUCAUGGCCCUUACGAGUAGGGCUACACACGUGCUACAAUGGCAGAUACAGAGGGCAGCGAGACAGCGAUGUUUAGCGAAUCCCUUAAAGUUUGUCGUAGUCCGGAUUGGAGUCUGCAACUCGACUCCAUGAAGUCGGAAUCGCUAGUAAUCGUGGAUCAGAAUGCCACGGUGAAUACGUUCCCGGGCCUUGUACACACCGCCCA
rnacentral:rRNA from 1 species